rnacentral:sRNA from 2 species
CACGGGCAAUCACGCAAUCCCGGCGGCAGGAGUGGGGGAACCAGGUAAGUGCCGUACGUGGCUGGUCGCACGUACGGCUAGGGGUGAAGCCGUACGCGAACGCCCCCUCGUGUUCGCGUGGGCCGGGCAACUCCAGCCCGAAUCCGACAGCUCACCUCGCAGGCGUAGGAGAGGAACU